UUCCCGCGUCACAGACGGUCUUUAGGAGCGACUCGUGGGCGUUAAGACUGGGCUGAGUUUGUGGCGCGCUUAGUGAUGGGUUGGCGCUGUGCAGGACGCCGACACAAAAAGAUGAAGAGUUCAAUCCGUGCUGUCUGAACUCACAGUGUAGUGGGCGAGACAGACGGGAUGAUCGGUAGAGUGGGAGAUGCCGGAAAGGCUUCCCGUGAGACUGGAUAAGAAAUCAAAAAUCUGGUGAAAUUGGCGGCAGGAGGGAGUUAAGGACAUUCCAGGCAGAGGCAAGAUCCUGCCUGUCCAUCCCUACAGAGCAGCUGCACAUGAACAUUUUUAUUUCUCCUCCUUCAGCUAUUUGACAGACCGUGUGCUCUUUUGAACUUUGCCACCGCAUCACAACUAGACCCUGAACAGGAUGGAUUUCUGGACUUCUGAAAGUUGGUCCUUGCUGGCUGAUCCAGCUUCCCAGUCAGCAUAUGGUGAGCAGUUCAGUGAGAGGACCACACUUCCAAUACUGGCAGCUCUGGCCCUGCUGCGCCCUCUGCCUGAUCACCUGCUGCCCCGUCUCAGCUUUCCCAUCCCGCUGGCUCCUGGGACUCUUUCAAAGGCUUCAUAAGACCUAUAGUGAAGGUCUGGCCAUCAGGCCCCAUUUCUGCCCAGCAGAGACUGCUAUGACCCAGUGAUGACAUCGUGCCCUAAGAACUUCCCCACAUUCUCAACUCGCAGAUGACCUCAGAUGUAGCUGCUCUCUCAGGCCUUCAAUGUACGUCUCCACCCAAAUGAGUAAUAUUUGCAUUACAAGGAGGAAAAGAGAGAGGGAGCCAUUGGGUACCUGCUGUACCAGGCACAUUAUAUGCUAUUGUCCCUGUUUUCCAGAUGAAGCCAGAUACUCCUCCAUGAAGUUAAAUGACUGGUUCAGUGUUACACUGCUAGUGAGUGAGAGAUGGAAUUUGAAUGCACACCUGUCUGACUCCACCUCACGUGUUCUUUCCACAUGGCCAGCAAGCUCUGCUGUCCCACCUCACACCUCUGGGAGGUAGCUACUCCCUCUUUCCACCCCCUUUUCUGGAUCUUGACAAGGGGUUCUGCCCUGCCCCAGCUGUCAAAGCCUGCAGCAGCUGCCAAAAAACCUCAACACAGGCAUACUUUGGACCUACAUCAUGUGUUGAUGUCACAGAUGCUGUACCAGGCAUUUGACUCCUUGAUCUAAAGCCUGGAUUCCUGGCCAACAUGGCGAAACCCUGUCUCUACUAAAAAUAACAAAAAUUAGCUGGGCGUGGUGAUAGGCGCCUGUAAUCCCAGCUACUUGGGAGGCUGAGGCAGGAGAAUUACUUGAACCCAGGAAGCGAAGGCUGCAGUGAGCAGAGAUUGUGCCUCUGCACUACAGCCUGGGCUAUGGAAUAAGACUGUCUCAAAAAAAAAAAAAAAAAAAAAUAGGGGGAUGCAUGCCUACACAAAGGAAUCCUGACAGAGGAACAGUGGCUUGGUCCGUUUCCCCUCCUACGUAGCACUGUGAUAAAGGAAAGCCUUUCAGGUAUGCGCCUUGAUGGAGCCAGUGGGUGGAAGAGGAAGGGCAGUGAGAGGUUUGAGGACAAGCCGCUGAUACCCUCAUGUAUCAUCACAGUGGUGCCCUUUGGGAGCCUGCUUUGGUAUACUCAUCCACUCAGGGAAGAGGAAGUCUCUUAUCCACAACUUUGUCUUCAAAAUUGAAAUUUUUUUGGGUAGAGCCCAAAAGAGAGUUGCCUCAUUUCGUGUAACUGUAGUGUAUGUAGUGUAGAGGCUCCAAUGUGUUUUUGAGGCAAUCUGAGAGCUCUUUCUGGAAAUCCCAGGCAGAUGACAUCUGCGUCUGAUUUUAGUUUGUCUUACAACCAGGCUAAGACCUCCAGCAUCAUCAGACUGUUGAAUUGCUCAGGUCAAGGCAGACAGGUAGAAAGGCCCACAUAGAUAGUGGUUACUCAUCCCAAGAACACAGAGGCCCACACCAGGAAGGAGCAGGUGAUGUUAAUGAUGAAGCAGGCAGUCAUAUCUUGCGAUUUCUAUGAGCCAUGAUGCAUUACACUAAGGAACUUUACCUCACUUGGCUUGUGACUUGUGUUAGUGAAAAGUGGCCUGCUGGCCUAUGCUGGGGAGGACCUGCAGAAAACUUCCCAGCCACUGGCAGAAGGUGGACAUCUCCCCUGGUUCCUCCCCAACCCAUUUAGUGUGAAACAGGACAAAGGGAAACAUUUCCUUUGAUCUAUUUUUGGGGAAAGAGGCAAAUGUCAACUAAAUAAGAUCAUAUUAGGGACUGGGCGUGGUGGCUUAUGCCCGUAAUCCCAGCACUUUGGGAGGCCAAGGUGGGUGGAUCACCUGAGGUCAGAAGUUAGAGACCAGCCUGGCCAACAUGGCAAAACCCCAUCUCUACUAAAAAUACAAAAAAUAUUAGCCAGGUGUGGUAGCACGUGCCUGUAAUCCCAGCCACUCGGGAGGCUGAGGCACAAGAAUCGCUUGAACCCAGGAGGCGGAGGUUGCAGUGAGGUGAGAUCACACCACUGCACUCCAGCAGCCUGUGUGAUAGAGACUUGUCUCAAAAAAAAAAAAAAAAGAAAAGAAAAAAUCCUAUUAGGAAUUUCAUGAAAGCUCACACAGUUCUUGCACACAUCAUUCAAGGCCUGUUAUGGGGGCCCAGAACAUCAGGACAUGGUAGCUAGCCUCACAUUCAGCUCCAUUGCACUAGAGCUUUGCAUGAUCUCAAUUUGAAAAGCACACAUGUAUAUCUACAUUUGUAUCUCUAUUCUAAUAUUAUAUACUGUAUAUGACUUUUUAAAAUACUAGUUUGCUGUUUCUAUUUUGUGCUAAUGCAACAAAUCUAAUUUGCUUUAGAAACAGUUAUUACUGUUUCUUGCUUCUUAUCACCCCCUACCGUUUGGACUUUGUUGUCCAUCUUUCUCUGCCUAAUUGGACCACAGCCUAGUGCCUCAAUCUCCACAAAAUCUGUUCCCUUCUAGCUCAAGAUGACUGCAUUCUCUCUCAGUUCGCAGUGCACUCACGGACUGCUCAUUCGUCUGCCCUUGUGCUCUGUGCCUUUUUGGCAUCUGCAGUCCAGAUUCCUAAGAUGAGGACACAGCAUCCUGGGCCACUGUCACUAAUACAAAUUUGCCUCUGGAGGGACUCUACGGAAGAUAAUUCCCCUGAAAUUUGGAGAGUUGAAUUAAGCUAGGACUGAUUCUGCCUGGAAUUUGUGGUGGCUACCUACCCUAGAGGGCCUCAAGGAAACCUAUGGUUCAAGACAACCCUGACAGAUUCUAGAGUCUAGAACAGAACACCUGUUCCACCAGGGAUGGAUUUGAACAUGGGCAAGGCCAACCACCCAGUUCACAGCCUGUGUACAGCAAAGAUUACGUUACAGCCUGAGAGCUAAGCCUGGAAGCUCUUUCAUCCAUCCACUUGUCCAUCCAUCCAUCCAUCUGCUCAUCCAUCCCUCCAUCUGCUCAACAAAUGUUACAGAACCAAUCCUUGUGUCAUACUGGGGCUGCCCUCAAGGAGCUUUUAUAGAGUUCAGGGUACAGCCAGGUGGGGGAGACAGAUCACUAUUAAAACCUACCACUAUAAUCCAAAGGACAAGAGCAAAAAUAGUAAAGAGGAGAGAAGACCCAAAUUUGCCUGCUGGGUCAGAGAGGGCUUUCUAGAAGAGGUGAAAAAUCUUCGGGGCUAUCACUUCACCUCACCUGGUGGAUAAAGGGAGGACUUUCCAGAUACAGUGGACAGAAUGUGCAGAGGCAGGAGAGGGACUGCAGAGACAGGCUGGAGCCAAAGCACGAUGGCAUUGGAGCCAUAGCCAAAGGAACAAACUGUGAGACCUGGGACUUGAAUUUGGAGGUGGUGAAAAGUGACAAGGUCUUCACAGAAGAGUGAUUUUUUCAACUCGUGGAAGGCUGACCCCAGACCAAUGCUGCCAAAGUGUGGUCUGUGGGCUGUUAGCAGUUCAUGACCAUGUAAGUACAGGAAUUGAGAGUAAGCAUUUAGAACACCUACAGCACUUUGAUAGUCAUUUUACUUUUUAAAUUUUGAGCUGGCAUUUCGUAUGCCUGUUUAUUUUUCUUUUCUUUGAGACAGUCUCGCUCUGUCGCCCAGGCUGGAGUGCAGUGGCACGAUCUCGGCUCACUGCAAGCUCCGCCUCCUGGGUUCACGCCAUUCUCCUGCCUCAGCCUCCCGAGUAGCUGGGACUACAGGUGCUUGCCACCUCACCAGGCUAAUUUUCUGUAUUUUUAGUACAGACGGGGUUUCACCAUGUUAGCCAGGAUGGUCUCCAUCUCCUGACCUCGUGAUCUGCCCGCCUCGGCCUCCCGAAGUGCUGGGAUUACAGGUGUGAGCCACCAUGCCCAGCCUUAUUCUAUUUUUCUAAUAGUUGCACUUUAUCAUAUUUUACAAAUGUUUGAGUCUGCUAUGGAUUAGAAAUUAAUAAGAGAUUUUGCCACAGAUAGUUUGAGAAGCCCAGCACUGCCACUCAACAAAUGCUAGUGCAUUCAGGUGGUGAAAUAUUCUGCAGCUAUUAAAGGAGUUAAAACUGCCUCCACUUACCUGGAGGCCCAUCUGUGACACCUUUUUAGGUUAAAAGAAAAACUUGCUUAGGACUGAAUAUGAGUGGUUGCAAUUUUUUAACAAUGAUGUAUAUACAUAUAUAUUUUUAUAUAUUUGUAUGAACAUAAAAGUAUUGAAGGAUAUUCAUCAAACUGCUAAAAGGGUUGCUUCGGAGUAACAGACUUGGAGAAGGCAGAUUAAUUUUCUCUUAAUGGAACUCUAUUGUAUCACUUGUAAAAAUAAGCAUGUGUUACCUUUAUGAUAAAAAAGUAAAAACCUAAAAAAGAAAAAUUUGAUGUGUGUUAAAAUUUUGGAUUUCUAGGCUCCACCCUUUUGAAUGAGCCUCUCCAAGAGUGGGGCCCUCACAUGUAUAGUGAGAAAAAGCUCCCUGAUUACAGGAUGUUACCAAGCCCCACUAGGUGCAGGAACCCUGCUUGGUACCCACCUGAGCCUCAGCAGCUCCUCCCCAUCAUGGGCAUGAUGAGGUCUCCCUAUGGGGAGAUGUGAAGAUGAUGGGACAGGCUGCAGCAGGCACCGAUUAAAUGAGUCCCUUCCUCUGAUGACCCUAAGGCUAUCGGAUCAUCAUCACUCCCUCCCCAAAGCCACACCUGAUUAUUCCAGCCAGCACUCGGCCUGCCCCUUUUCUGAAUGCCUUUUGAUUUUAGCUAACAUUUUUAGCAUUUGAGUGUUUCAUUUAAUUUGAGACAGAGUCUC